rnacentral:rRNA from 1 species
UACGUAGGGUGCAAGCGUUGUUCGGAAUUACUGGGCGUAAAGGGAGCGUAGGCGGAAUUGUAAGUUGGAAGUGAAAUCCACAGGCGCAACCUGUGGCUUGCUUUCAAUACUGCUUUUCUUGAGUAUUGGAGAGGGCGAUGGAAUUCCAGGUGUAGCGGUGGAAUGCGUAGAUAUCUGGAAGAACACCAGUUGUGAAGACGGUCGCCUGGCCAAAUACUGACGCUGAGGCUCGAAAGCUAGGGGAG